AAUCAUUUCAUGCCUCCAAACCUUCUUCAGUCUCAGUUGGACUCACUUCAGCUUGAUCCUUCAGAAGGCAUACUCAAGGUUGAUGCUACUCAAAGUCCUGACGAUACUGUCAAUGGCAUACAAGCUCUGAUCUUCUGAUCGUCAAUUCCUCAGACAAAAAUUAGGUAUUCAAGACCUUAUCUAGUUGAGAUGAAAAGGAGUUUUAUUUUAUUUUAUUUUUUAUUUUUAUUUAAUCUAAUUCAAGUUGAAGAUGGCUCCAUCAAACAUGACUGAUUGGUUUCAAAGUCUCACCAGAUUCAUUUCCAUGUUUUUUUCGUCACUAGGUGUAAUUGAACCCGAGCAUUUGCCUUAUGAAUAUACAGACAGGAAGUGAAAAGGAAUCCAUAGGAAUGACACAGACUCAAAUGACAACAAUGGCAGGAAUCUAAAAUUGGUGAAAAAUAGAUUUUAUUUUGUAACUGAACAUCACUUCUUGAAAGUGCAAUGCCAUAGAUCUUGAUAAUUUUUGUUGGAUAUGAAUAAAAAUGUUUCUACUCGUGCUUGCCUUGGUUGUAAGGUGCUAAAAAAAUUAUGGUUCGGGAUUUAAAUAAGUCAAGAUCAAGAUAACAACAGCUUAUCAAAAGAAUGAACAUACCUAAAGGAUUUAUGCAGGUUUAGUAAAAGCUGCAUAUGCACAUCCUAUGCAGGUUAUGGUAGCAAAGAGGAGAAAUGGAAAAAAAAAGAGGCAAAAUAUGGUUUAAUUUUUUAGUUUCUUAUCAUUGUGGUUUUUGAGGAUACUAAUCGAUUGUCUAGUAUAAAGCCUAUUAUCACCCCUUGUGCAUGAGUGCUUAAGAAAAGCCAAAGUCAGUGACACUAUGUUUUAUUAUGCAAGCUACAUUGAGGGUGUCUUUUGGUAUGAGCCUAUCCUCACAUCCCAUGCAUAGAGGCCUAAGUUUAGGAGACUAUUGUCACAAGAUGAUUCAAAUGAGCCUCCCCAUGGGCUUAUAUAGAGCCAGGAAGCUUCUGGAGACUCCUAGAGUGGGAAGAGAGUGUGGAAGGUUCUAGAGAUGCCUGGAGGAAUCCACACAACUCUACACUAUGGUGGAAGACAUGAGAGGAGUCCACAGCCUUCUAAAGAAUUCCAGAGGUCUCUUGUAUAUUUUUGUACAUAGGCUUGUACCUAAAAUGAUGUUGGACAUUCUAGAAUAUACUUGAAUUGGAAGGAACCCUCCAAGGUUCCAGAGAGUUCCAUUGGUGCCUAUAAAUAGGUGAGGGCCUCAUUUGGCCAAGGCACCAAGCAAGUGAGUCUUCAAAACACUUGUAAAGGCUUCCUUGAGUAAUAAGAGCUUCCAUUCUCUAAGAGUUGCCUACUAAGCUUCUUAAGCUUUCGAGUUGUGAGCAUCUUAGCCUAGCAAGCUAAGCAUUGGGAGCAAGGCUGACUUAGCAAGAUCAAGUGUCUUGACUUGCCUAAGUGUCGCACGAGCUUAGUGAACGACUAAGUCCGUGACACUAUGCUUUGAUUGUCAUGGCUUGUUCUUGGGUGCUUAGGAGAAACAAAUUACGCAACACUAUGCUCCGGUAUGCAAGCUACAUUGAGAGGGUCUUUAUCAAGUUUAAAACUUGUCUAGUAUGGGUCUAUUGUCAUGCCCUAUCCAUGGGUGCUUAGGAGAAGUCUUAAGUUUGGGACACUGAUUGUCAUGCCUUGUGCUUGGGUGCUUAGUGAGAAACCUAAGUAUGCGACACCAUACUUUGAUAUGCAAGCUACAUUGAGGGUGUCUUUCUCAAGUUUAAAACUCGGCUAGUACAAGUCUAUUGUCAUGCUUUAUGGGUGCUCGGGAGAGGCCUAAGUUUCAUUUUGUCCAGCAUGAAGUUACUGUCAUGCCUUGUGGAUGGGUGUUUAGGAGAGGCCUAAGCUUGAGACGCCAUAAUCUCAGUUAUGCUGGUUUUAGGAAAGUAUUAAGAAAAAAAAAAUUAAGAAAAUGAUUUUCUCGUAUUCGGUUUUAUUAAGGAAAAUAUUUAAAAAAAAAAACAAAUAUAAUUCAAAAUGAUUAGAAAUUUAUGUAUUUUCAAAUUAUUUAAUCAUUAUAUAAAAAUUAAAAUAAAUAAAAUGAGUUGACAUAAAAAAAAUUUAUUGAUAUUAAAUAUAUUUUUUAUUUUCCUUCGUUAUAUCUUUCCUUCUACUUUCUUCUUUGUUUUCUUUCUUUUGUAUUUUUCAGCAAAUUUUCUAGGAAUCAAACAUUACCUUAAGAAAUAGAGAAACAAUUGUAAAAAUAUUUUUCUCCUCAUUUUUUUUUUCUACUUUCAUAAAAGUGAGGAAUUUUUUUUUAAAUAGAAAAACAAACAAGAAACAACUUUUAUAAUUUUUUCAUAUUUCUUUAUUUCCUUAUAUUUUUCUUCUAUUUUCUUUUCUUGAACCUUUUGGGAACUAAAUAUAUAUUAAAAAAUGAAGUAUAAUAUAAAUAAAAUAUAUAAAAAACAUAAUACAUAAAAAAGAUAAUUAUAAAUAUUUUUCAAUAUUAGCACAAUUUCUUUGGAAAAUUACUAAUUUACUAUUAUGUACAUAUUUUUUAAAAUCUUUACUAAUUUAUUAUGUACAUAUAUGAAUAAGAAAAUAACUUAAUUUUAUUUAAUAAUUUAAUUGUAUUUAAUAAUUUAAUUGUAUUUAAUAAUUUAAUUGUACUUGACCUUAACUAAAAUUGCACUAGGGUAAAAUCAAAGAAUCAUUCACAUUAUCAUUUUUCCACUACAAGAAUAAAAUAUUUGUUAGAGUUGUUCAUUAUACAUUUUUUUUAUUGCAAAUUAAAUCAUAAUUAUGAAAUUUCAAAAAAUUAAUUAGUUUUAUUUCAAAAUUUAAUUAAUUUUAUUUAUUACCUAAUAUUAUAUAUAAAAAAACUCUAAUUCUAUGUUUGAUUCCUGGAAGUAGUAAGAAAAGAAGAAAAAAAUCAUAAAGAAAAUAGUUUUCUCGUGUUUGGUUUCAUUAAAAAAAUAUGAAAGAAAAUCAAAUAUAAUUAAAAUUAAUUAAAAUUUUAUGAAUUUGAAAAUUAUUUUAUUUUUAUAUAAUAGAGAAAAAUAAGUGAAAUGGGUUUGAAAAAACAUUUUAAAAUAAUUCAUUAACUUUGAAUCUACUUUUUAUUUUCCUUCUACUUUUUCUUUUCAUAGUCUAUUAAUUUUUACUAAUUUAUUAUGCACUUCCUAAACUAUUAUUUUUAUUUAAACAUUAUUACUGAACUAUUUCUUUAAUUAAAACAAAAUUUCUAAGCUAUCAAACGCUCAAUUUCACAUACACCCAAUAAAUAUAUAUAAAAAAAAUAUUUAUAGAUACCAAUAAAAAUGAAACUAAAUAAAAGUAGGAAAAUAAAAUAAGUACCCAAACAAAAGCUUACAAUAAGCUCAAUGCCUCACUUACACCUUCAGUGAGCCUCCUUUUCUUUCAUAAAAUUUGGUUCUCCACGUGUCAUAAAUUUACGCUCACCCAAUGCAAUACCAAUAACAGAAUAGGGUCAUGCAAAACAAAAGGGAGUCCAAAGUAAAUAUGCAUAGCCUAAAAUAAUUCAAGCCCAAAUGUAAUAAACCCAAAAACAUCCUUCAAAUUGAUCUAACAAAUUUCACUACUAAAAAAAAUGGACCCAAAAUUAGCGACAAAAAUAUCUCACAUCCCAUAAACCUUAAUCCAAGAUUCCGAAUUAAUCAGCAAAAUACAAGUACAAUUAACCAAGCCCAAAAUAUGACAAAACAAGAUAAAUUCAAUUAGACCUAAAUUUAAUAUCUCAUAAUUCAAGUCUAAUUUAAUAUACAAAUCGAAUCCUAAACCAAAAUCAAGCUCAAUUUAAUAAAUGUAUAACUAAACAAGUUAAGCAAGCCCAAAUUUCCCAAACCACUACCUAGAAAUCAAAUAAUAAUAAUAAUAAUAACAACAAAAGAAAAUAAAAUAAAAUAAAAUGAAAAUAAAAAUUUUACCUCACGCUUGAAGCCUAAAGUGGAGAAGAAGGUUGUGCAGCAAGAUGCACUGGGUUUGGGUGUCGCGGGUAAAUAGAGUGUGGGAAGAGGGUCUGAUGGUGAGGUCGUGUGAGUGUGUGUGUGGGGAGAAGAAAUAAAGGAAAGUAAGAGAGAAAAUGGGGAAGAAAGAGAGAAGGGAGAAGGAAGGGCUGUGUCUCUGUGAGUGGCCAUGUGUGGUGAGGGGGAGAGUGAAGAAAAAAUGGAAUGAAAAAAUGAGAGAAAAAAGGAGAAAAGAAAAUGGAAAGGGAAAGAAGAGGAGAGAGAGUGGGGGGAGUGUGGGCAGAGAUAAAAAGGAGGAAAGAAAAAAAAAAAAAUAAAGAAAAAAU
rnacentral:lncRNA from 1 species